rnacentral:rRNA from 1 species
GAUCCUGGCUCAGGAUGAACGCUAGCGGCAGGCUUAACACAUGCAAGUCGAGGGGCAGCGGGGAGUAGCAAUACUCCGCCGGCGACCGGCGCACGGGUGCGUAACGCGUAUGCAACCUACCUUUAACAGGGGCAUAACACUGAGAAAUUGGUACUAAUACCCCAUAAUAUCAUAGAAGGCAUCUUUUAUGGUUGAAAAUUCCGAUGGUUAGAGAUGGGCAUGCGUUGUAUUAGCUAGUUGGG